AUGUUUUAUGUAAGUCAUAGUGAACUCUUCACACGAUCAGUGAACAGCAGACAGCUGAUCUGUGUUUAUUCACUCAAGACUGAACCUGAGAUCAGAUCACCACACAGUGACACAUACACCUUCAGAGACACAGUCACCAUCAGAGAUCUUCCUCAGGCCAAGUUGAGAGCGUCUGCUUCAGUUAUUCUGGAAACAGACACAGUUGAGCUGAGCUGUGAGAAUACUGAAGAUCUGAAGAUGGAGAAGUGUUUCUUCAACAUAAAUGGAAGAGAAAGUAACUCAAAACAGAGCUCAUCAUGUCAGCUCUCACUCACUGGAUCUCAGAUCAGUGUUUGGUCUGGAGGUCAGAGUUCAUCUGUGAGAAUAAGCUGCUUCUACACUGUGAAUUUGUCACAAGUUCAAAAACCAUCUGCUCACUCUGAUCCAGUGACAGUAACAGUCAACAGCUCCUGGCAUUAUUUCUGUCUGGACUCAUAGGAUUCAUCUGUCUGAGCCGCUUUACCAGUAAGAACAAUGUACAGGUUUAGUUGUACAUAAACUGAUAAACCAGAUAGAAACAUCAGCUCUUUUAACCUCCUCUGUCUGCGCCUCAAAACAUGGAUGACCUGUUUACUUUAUUUUCCUUUCGCUAAAGUAUUAAAUCUUAAAUCUAAUUUAGUCUAUAUGUACUUCUUUAUUCAACUAUUGUAACACACAUAGCUUUUAACAUAGAGAUUAAUUCUAAAAGCAAAGUUGACAGGUGAACUGCAACACUUUCAGAAAAUGAUCAUAGUGUCCUACUGGUUUUGUCUGUUUUUUUUUUUUGUUUUUUUUUACUUUAAGAUCAAUGACCAUCUGAACUGCUGGCUUUUGUCUGCAUGCUUUUAUACAGUUGCUUCCAUAUGAUUAUCAGAUUAGAUUUUUGCAUUAAGGAGCAAAAGUGUACCUGAUGAAGGGACCACUGUGUCCAGCUGUGUGUAUAAAAUCAUUAACCUAUUCACUAUGGUAUUCAAUAAAAAAUAAAGGUAAACCUGAACA
ensembl:lncRNA